CGUUACAGGUUCUCAGUGUGCUUCUGGCAAAACACCAAUUUUCUAUGGUUGACCUCGGAUCAGGUAGGGAUACCCGCUGAACUUAAGCAUAUCAAAAAGCGGAGGAAAAGAAACCAACAGGGAUUGCCCCAGUAACGGC
rnacentral:rRNA from 1 species